CUUCUGCUAAACGAAUGAUUUAGGUGAGAAGACUUUCUUUUAAGUAACUAAUAAGGGAUCAGUAACUAGAAUGUAUAGAAGUUUUCUGUCUGGAAAAACGAGAAAGGCUUUCUCACGAGGCUGGUAAACAGUUGUGUCUGGUGAUGAGAAGUGUGAGGUUCAGGUUUGCAUCUACAGCAUGUGCCAGAGUGGGGCUCACAGUCCCAGAUGUGUAAGUAGUCACAUGCACGUGACAUAUCAUUGCCGAAGGACAGUUAACGGGUCACAGAUGUGAGCAUCUGCAGAGUAAACAAGGCCCGAACUCGCAGGUUCAGCAGCAUCUUACAUUUUGGUCAUGGCAAUAUGAUCAGGUUAGUGACAGGAAUUACUGAAGUUCUGUCCAUGGGAGAGUGGUUUUAUAAGAUACCAUGGUGCCGUGAAACUGGGUGAACUACAGCCACACUUGACAAUAAAGGUGGAUCACAGGAAAUAGGGGCAGAGCGAGUCUUAGAGUCCGUUUAAUGGCAUGCUACUGUUUUUAUUGAGUUCAAAAGUGAAUGAGGUCAAAGAAUGUAUAUGGUAGCUACAUGUGUGAUUAAAAACUUAAAAGGUCACAGACAUCUCAAAAAAUUAAGUUUAGUGAUAGAUAGCCUUGGGGGGUGGGGGUCAAAGGGGCCAGAAAAGAGCACACAGGUAAAUUAUGAAUAGUUGCUUUAGUUUUUGGGUGGGAGGGUUAUGGCUGUACAGCAUUUUUGUACAUUUUAAAUAUGCUAUAUUUAAUGUGUAUUUAAUAUAUUUUAAUCAAUAAAGAUAAAGUGAAAUGAUA